GGAUCAGGUAAGGGUGAAAGGGUGCGGUAAGAGCGCACCGCGCGGCUGGUAACAGUCCGUGGCACGGUAAACUCCACCCGGAGCAAGGCCAAAUAGGGGUUCAUAAGGUACGGCCCGUACUGAACCCGGGUAGGCUGCUUGAGCCAGUGAGCGAUUGCUGGCCUAGAUGAAUGACUGUCCACGACAGAACCCGGCUUAUCGGUCAGUUUCACCU
rnacentral:RNase_P_RNA from 1 species